CUGUCGCUGCACGACCGUAGCAUAGAGCCCCCCGAACAUGCGCACUUAUAACUACACAUUUUGUGCGCACGGAGACUCUUUCUGGACUCUAGAUCUUCGUCUGCAAGCUCCAGCUGCUCUGCUCACGUCCUUUGUUACACUCCAGCCAAUACGGAUAACCCACGACGCGAGAAACAACGUAUGCUGUAUUCCUCUAGUGGUACUGUACAACUGUAGCAAACGAUUCAUUCCGUACAAGCGUGAAUGCUACUUCAUCAUGGACCGAAGAAAACGUAAGCGCGCUCUGCGUACAGUCACCACCCCCAUGUAAUCUUUCAUUUACCACCCGCUCCUUUGGGUGCACAGGAGCUCCAAGGUUAGCUGUAGCACCUGAUGCCAGGCAGGAUGCUUGCACCCGGUGUAAGUAGGGAGUAGCUUGUCAGCUGUGUCACUAAUGUACUCAAUCAUUGCGACAUGCCUCUUGUGAAGCGAAUGUCUAGCGGCGGCUAGAGUGAUGAGGACGCCUGUGUUGGUGAAGGACACAGUUUUUAUCACACAGACUGUACCUUAUUCCAUGGUGCCAAGUUUUCACUAGUACACAUGCACUACUGUGUACUCCGCUUUGACAACCCUCUGUUAUCUCCUAUUAUUGCGACCCUUGUGCUCAUCCGG
rnacentral:misc_RNA from 1 species